rnacentral:rRNA from 1 species
AUACGGAGGGUGCGAGCGUUAAUCGGAAUUACUGGGCGUAAAGCGUACGUAGGCGGUUGGUUAAGUUAGAUGCGAAAGCCCCGGGCUUAACCUGGGAACUGCAUUUAAAACUGGCGGACUAGAGUUGAGUAGAGGGGAGUGGAAUUUCAGGUGUAGCGGUGAAAUGCGUAGAGAUCUGAAGGAACACCAGUGGCGAAGGCGACUCCCUGGACUCGAACUGACGCUGAGGUACGAAAGCGUGGGUAGCAAACGGGAUUAGAAACCCCGGUAGUCC